AUACGUAGGUGACAAGCGUUAUCCGGAUUUACUGGGCGUAAAGGGCGUGUAGGCGGUCUUGCAAGUCAGAAGUGAAAUUCCUGAGCUCAACUCGGGCGCUGCUUCUGAAACUGCAGGACUUGAGUGCUGGAGGGGAUAGCGGAAUUCCUAGUGGAGCGGUAAAAUGCGCAGAUAUUAGGAAGAACACCGGUGGCGAAGGCGGCUAGCUGGACAGUAACUGACGCUGAGGCGCGAAAGCGUGGGGAGCAAACAGGAUGAGAUACCCUGGUAGUCCACACUGUAAACGAUGAAUGCUAGGUGCAAGAGGUAUCGACCCCUUUUGUGCCGGAGUCAACACAAUAAGCAUUCCGCCUGGGGAGUACGGCCGCAAGGUUGAAACUCAAAUGAAUUGACGGGG
rnacentral:rRNA from 1 species